rnacentral:lncRNA from 1 species
CACGACGACACUCGGCCUGGAGGCGCCACCCUUUCUAUUUGUCACUGACGCUCUCCACAGCUCCUUUCCUUCCUCGAUAUCUACACACUGAAGAACUUUGCCGUUCUCCCACAAGAGGCACGAGCAAUCAGUGGCCAUGGCUAGACAGCCUUCAUACGAGUCAGAGAGUGGAGGCUCAAGGAGAGUAGGGUGGUAUUUCACCUUCGCGUUUCCUCUGCGCAGAUUUGAAAUGAAAGUUGAAAUUUUGAGAUACAAGCUUCGCCAGUCAUUGUCACCCGUAAAGGUGACGUAGUUCUCGUACUUCCGGCCGAAUUUCUUACUUACAAAUUCUCUCCACAGAGGCUGCAGGUCUGAACAGCACACUUCUCUCCACUUGCGGCAUGUCGCGCUCAUGGAGCAAACGUCGUUCGGAGUUAAAAAAGAGGCAACGUGAAAAACAACGGCAGUUGGCAGACACCCGGGGGAAGACAAAUCUGUCUCACGAUAUAAUUUGUUGUCCUCAGCCAUUUUUGCGUAUGCUCUGGGGACAAUGACAAUUCCCUGUCGAAAGAAAAACGAAAGGAAGCUCGGAUCUAGAAAACCGAUCAAUGCAGCAGCUGGGGAGAAACAAAAAAGGCAUCCCGGAGAAGCUUGCAGUGCAGUCUGGGACUGCCUCUUGUUUGUUGAGCUUCGGGUUUGCUGUAUGGUCAAACUACUUCCCCAAAGGAAUCGAGAGACAACAUCUCUUCAUUGAUUUAGAAACCGACGAGUGCGUUUGUCUCGCGGCGCGUUGGGACAUGGUGUUCAGCUGGGUUUCAGUGUAAACUCCAAAGGGAAGCAGAACGAAGGACAAACUAAGAAAAAGCACCUGAAACGCACAGUGGGAUAAACAUCCGCCGGCGCUGCCCUGCUGUGCCGCCACCCCUGUCUACUGUAUUCUUUAGGAACUAAGGCAUUUUCUUCAGACAAGUAGAAACAUCUUUCGGGUUUUGUCUCUUGUUUCCGUGGACCUGCAAGUGACGAUAAGCGCUAGAGAGCAGCAUCUGAAACCGACUAUGGAAGACCGCCAAGUUUUUCAGAACAUGUCAGUGAAAAUUGACAAGCGAGAUGGCGAAGCACCAGAGAUGUCGAAACAGCGAGAGUGAAGUCAGACGACAAGCCAUUUUGAUGUUCUCCAAAUGCACCCCAAGAGAUCGAGCCAAGAAACGUGUGUUUUCGAAACACACAUGCGAAUCAAAUACCGACGAGAAACGCGUGCUGACUGAGACCGGCGAAGGAAAGUAAAGCCAAAACGACGGCAAUCUUCCUCGUGGGCACGUCGGAAACAUCAACAAGAAGAAAAACGUUAUGUGGGGCGACAAAGCUGGAAAUCGGUGUACAAUUUGACUCCGAGACAAGUUCUGCACGGCGUUCUGAGAGAGAGCUGCGAGUUAAUAGCAAGAAGCGUGUGCUCCUCGUCGGCGACCGGCUAACGGAAGACACUACAAGGGAAACAGUGAAGACACAUACGUCAUAAAUCGGUAGAACACGGAAGGGAUACAAAGUGUGGUCUGAAGGCGUUCUCUCCAUUGCAAUGUCCCAAAGGAAACGAACCAAAAAACUUCAUGAGGGAAAGCGGAGAGCGAUAGGACACGAGCCUGAUUCCGUGAAGAAAAAAAAGCACCGGAAAGCAACCGUUUGUGACAGCGUUUUGUGGUAAAGGGGGAAGCGUAAAUCAUG